CAAUUGUUUAGUCUCUAAUUUCGUUUUACAAUGAUGAGGGGAUUCUAAAUUAAUUUUCAUUUGCAAUCUUACAGAGCCUUUUCCGCUACCUAGCUGCAGGAUCUUAUCAUAGGGUGAGAUCGACCUGGUGAUGCCUAAUUAUGCAUCGACCACAAGAUUGUGCUUGAUUUAUUAUCAUAUCUCAUGUAAAGUUGUGUCGGAGAUGAUCCUGGCUUUUUUCAGGAUUGGGUACCCAAGGAAGCGGAUUGCAGAGAUAGAUAAUUUUGCUCGCUGCUUCUCUAUCAGGUUUGUGGUGUCAAGGAUUUAGUAGAGAUGGAUACACUUAGAAUGCUUCAAUAAUUUCACGAGCUUAUACUGGCGGCACACAGCAUUUUACGAGAGUUUUAAUAUGGUUCUAAUCACUUGUUCAUUAACAUUCAUGGUGGAUGAUGUGGUGCAAUUAUCUCCAGUAUUAACCAAAUGACAUACUCAGGUUUGCAAGUGGAAAACGGUAAGCAUCUUUUGAAAUUGGUCUCCGGAUUCACGGGAACUGCUUGGUCGAUCGAAUAAUAAAUAAGGUGUAUUUUUCAUUCA